UACGGAGGGUGCGAGCGUUGUCCGGAAUCACUGGGCGUAAAGGGCGCGUAGGUGGCGCGGGCAGUCAACGGUGAAAGUUCGGGGCUCAACCCUGAAUCGGCCGUCGAUACUCCCGUGCUUGAGCACUGUAGAGGCAGAUGGAAUUCCGGGUGGAGUGGUGAAAUGCGUAGAUAUCCGGAGGAAUACCAAAGGCGAAGGCAGUGUCCUGGAGGGUUAACUGACGCUGAGGCGCGAAAGCUAGGGGAGCGAACAGG
rnacentral:rRNA from 1 species